CUGCGAGCCCGCGAGCCAGCGAGCUGCGGCUGCGGCCUCCCCUGCGCGCAGCUACCCGGGCGUCCCGGCCCGCGGCCCCGCUAACCCCGGGGCCCGCGCCCCCGCGGCAGGGAUGCAUCAUGGCCACGCUGGCUUGCCGGGUGCAGUUCUUGGACGACACGGACCCUUUCAACAGCACCAACUUCCCCGAGCCCAGCCGGCCGCCGCUGUUCACGUUCCGCGAGGACCUCGCGCUCGGCACCCAGCUGGCGGGGGUUCAUAGGCUGCUGCGGGCGCCGCACAAGCUGGAUGACUGUACUCUGCAGCUCUCUCACAAUGGCGCCUACCUGGAUUUGGAGGCCACCCUGGCAGAGCAGCGGGAUGAGUUGGAAGGCUUCCAGGAUGACGCCGGGCGGGGCAAGAAGCACAGCAUCAUCCUAAGGACGCAGCUGUCUGUGAGGGUCCAUGCCUGCAUCGAAAAACUAUACAACUCCAGCGGACGAGAUUUGAGAAGGGCCCUUUUCUCCCUGAAGCAGAUAUUUCAGGAUGACAAGGAUUUGGUGCAUGAAUUUGUAGUGGCUGAAGGUCUGACAUGUUUGAUCAAGGUGGGAGCUGAGGCUGAUCAGAACUAUCAGAACUACAUCUUAAGGGCUUUGGGCCAGAUUAUGUUGUAUGUGGAUGGAAUGAAUGGAGUAAUAAACCACAAUGAAACCAUUCAGUGGCUGUACACUCUCAUUGGGUCAAAGUUCCGCCUGGUGGUGAAGACAGCCCUGAAGCUGCUGCUCGUCUUUGUAGAGUACUCGGAGUCCAACGCACCUCUCCUAAUUCAGGCUGUCACUGCUGUUGACACGAAAAGAGGGGUCAAGCCUUGGUCAAAUAUCAUGGAAAUCCUGGAGGAAAAAGAUGGAGUUGAUACGGAGCUACUGGUUUAUGCAAUGACUUUGGUGAACAAGACGUUAUCAGGACUACCAGACCAAGACACCUUCUACGACGUCGUGGACUGCCUGGAGGAGCUGGGCAUCGCUGCUGUGUCCCAGAGGCACUUGAACAAGAAAGGGACUGACCUGGACUUAGUGGAGCAACUCAACAUUUAUGAGGUGGCGCUCAGGCACGAGGAUGGCGAUGAGACCACGGAGCCACCCCCCAGUGGGUGCCGGGACCGGAGGAGGGCCAGCGUGUGUUCCAGUGGAGGGGGCGAGCACCGGGGCCUGGACCGCAGAAGGAGCCGCAGGCACUCGGUGCAGAGCAUCAAGAGCACCCUGUCGGCCCCCACCAGUCCCUGCUCCCAGUCAGCUCCCAGCUUCAAGCCCAACCAAGUGCGAGAUCUGCGUGAAAAAUACAGCAAUUUUGGCAAUAACUCUUAUCACUCCUCAAGACCCUCAUCUGGAUCCAGUGUGCCCACCACCCCCACAUCAUCCGUGUCACCCCCACAGGAGGCCAGGUUGGAAAGGUCAUCACCGAGUGGUCUUCUCACAUCAUCCUUCAGGCAGCACCAAGAGUCACUGGCAGCAGAGAGAGAGAGGCGGCGGCAGGAGAGAGAAGAAAGGUUGCAGAGAAUAGAGCGGGAAGAAAGAAACAAAUUCAGAUACAAAUACUUGGAACAGUUGGCAGCUGAGGAGCACGAGAAGGAGCUGAGAAGCCGGAGUGUGAGCCGGGGCAGAGCCGACCUCUCCUUGGACCUGACCUCGCCAGCAGCCCCAGCCUACCUGGCUCCUCUGAGCCAUAGCCCCUCGUCUUCAGACUCUCAAGAGGCUCUCACGGUGUCUGCCUCCUCCCCAGGAACCCCUCACCAUCCCCAAGCAAGUGCCGGGGAUCCUGAACCCGAAUCAGAGGCAGAACCGGAAGCAGAGGCAGGGGCGGGGCAGGUUGCUGAUGAAGCUGGCCAGGACAUAGCCUCUGCCCACGAGGGUGCAGAGACUGAAGUGGAGCGGGCACUAGAGCAAGAGCCGGAAGAAAGAGCCUCCCUCAGUGAAAAAGAGAGGCAGAACGAGGGGGUGAACGAGAGGGACAACUGCUCCGCCUCCAGCGUCUCGUCCUCCAGCAGCACGUUGGAGAGGGAGGAGAAGGAGGACAAGCUUUCCAGGGACAGGACAACUGGUAAAUGAAGCCCCUUGUUUCAGUCGGCAUGUGCCAGAGAGGCCUGGGGUGCAGGGGCUGGUUCUCUACGAGCUUGUCCACAGGCUGGCCUCUGAGGUGACCUGGGUCAACCCACUCAUGUGGCUGUGUCACCCAGUGUCUGGGGACAAGGAGUGUGGCCACGCUGGCAGCCAGCCAGCAGCCUUCUGCCCUGUAGAAAGACAGCCCCCAAACUGUCUGCCACACCAUCACAUUCAUCACCUCCACACCUGGGGAAAAGGGCCCCGAUAAGGAGGGCUUUUCCUGAGGAAUAAGCCCCAGAAGAGAAACCUCUCACUUCCCCCUGACUGUUCCAUUGUGAAUAAUAGUAAGGUUGAUAAUAGUAAGGCUUUUUCCGUUUUUGAUAUAAGUUUAGAAACUGUCACAUUGUCAUCUAUUCCUUUAAAAAUGUGUUUACUGAAGUGUGUUAAUCAUUUUGACUGGACAUUUCAGACUGGGAAAGAUUUGUUUAAAUGGAUUGAAUGAGUAUUUCCAAAAAAUUGUACACAGUUUACUGAGGUCAAUUUGAUGUACUGGAAUAUAGAUAAUUUGUUUUCUACAUUACACUCAUAACUAUUCUUUUCUUUGUAUAAAGUAUAUGCUUUUCCUUAUGGAAGUAUAUCUUUUUGAUGUUACACUUAAUACUCAUUCAGUUCUCCUGUGAAUGGUAACUUUAGAAUUAGGGACCAAAUGGAAUGUUAGAUUAUAGGUUUGGUUUAGCCUGAAAGAACCUCACCAAGGACUUGAGAAGGGUGCCACAGAGGGUUAUAGGAAUCGUGAAUAAUUCAUAUGAUCUGUGACACCACAGGGUUACUUUUCCUACCCAUGACUUGUGUGCUAUCAAGGUGGUAGAAUGCCUCCUUCCUCAACAAACACUCCUAACCAGUGGAGUCAUGUCUUAUGGGCCAGCCUUUGUUAAGCUACAUAUGAGUGGCACCCACUCGAGUCGAUGUCUUAGGCCCAAAGGGCAAUAUGACACCCCUACAAAGGCCUGCCAACCAGUGCCAUGACCCAUGAAUGGCUUAUUCAUUCCUAGAUUAAAAAUACAUUGUCUCAGAAGCAUGGAUGAACGAAUGAAUGAAACCAGAAUGUCUUCCAAUAGACCUGUCAGUCAAUGGCGUAGUCUAAAAUAGUUACUAUUUGGAUUUUUUCCCAGUUAGAAUAUACUACUAGAUUUUAUGCUUUAUAUUGCUGGUCACUAUGAUGCAGUAAAAAAAAGAAGAUAAAAGACUUUAUUAGUUUACAUCUUAGGAAUUAUUGCAUUGAAAAUCCAGUGUCUUCAUUUGGUUGAAUAUGUAUGUGCCAAGAGGUAUUAUAUAUACUGAUAUUUACUUAAUUUCUUUCAAAGUCAGAUUACAGUUAGUCCCCCAAAUUCUUCUUAUCAUUCAUAUUAAUGUAAUUAUUGUCAUAAUACUGGGUGUAGGGUAAGUCUUAUUGAUCAGAUUGGUCUUAAAUCAUGUUUUAUUUAUUAGGAAUAGCUUUAAGAAUUAUUAAUCAUAACUGGGUUUAGCAGGCCUAAAACAUAUCAAGAAAUUGGAUUAGUAAAAAUAUACCAGGCGACAGGGCUUUCUUGGAUCAGAUUGUCCAAUAUUCUUCCAAAGAAGGACAAUUUUCCAAAAAUGGAAACCGUUCCCAGUGAAGAACCACUGACUUUCUACCAAAGUGGGCAAUGUCCAAGUAUUUAGAAGCAGAAAUUAGGGCUUUGCAAUGAUUUUUCUGCUUUGCUUCAGUGCUGUUAUGAGAGUUGGUCAUGUUUAUUUACUGUAGCUUAUUGGUUCCUAAAAAAUCUCACUGCUCACAGGCAUCAUCAGCCACUGUGGAGUCAGGGCAGCUAUGUCAUUAUAGCCCUUGCUUUUCAGAGUGCUGUCAAAUCACAGAGCAACCUUAGAGAUAAAAAAUUAUUCUCAAACAUAUUUCUAAUGAUUAUGUCAAAAAUGAAUUUGUAGGACUUGAAAAAGUCUCAUUCCAGUUAUGUGGUUUAAUUUUUCUUUGUUUAAUGUGUUCUACUUUAGGGCAUGCAUGUGAGAAGCUUUAUCAUAACAUACAUUUUACUUUUUUAU
rnacentral:sRNA from 1 species